GGCCCAUCGCCCAUCCCAGCAAUUCCGUGAAGCCGCCACGUGAGGUUCUCACGCCGCUCACCACCUCGCCGUGCGAUCCAGGACGCGCAUCCAACCAACGGCCGCGAUUGAUACAGCUCUCCCUCCUCCUCCCCUCACCUCGAGCGGCCAAAAGAUUCCUCCAAAACAAUUACUCUACUUAUUAAAAACAAAAAUCACCACAAUAAAAUACACAGUGUUUUUCCCUUCCAAAUAUACGUCGUCACUCAACUUGGAGAAAGGGGAAGAGAAGUAGAGGAGGAGGAGGAGGACUGAGGAGGAAGACGAAUUCGACUCGGAGUUUUGGACUUGGCCAUUUGGCCCAAUCUUGCCGUCCGGCGAUUUUUCUUUGGAUUUCUUUGGUGAAACCCUCGGCGGAUGGUCGCUUGGGAGCCAGGCAUUUGAUUCGAUCUUAAGUGGUCCAGGCGAUUGGAGGAGCAGCUGGCUGCUGCUGUUCCCGGGGAGUGGAUUUUCUUGAGGUGCAGUGAAUCUCUCCUGCUGUCAUAGGUUAAAAAAAACAAUUCAAAUUGCCUGGCCUUGGAUCAAGUCCAUUUUCCUAUAGAGAUUGUCUGUCUUAAGUCAAAGCAGCUAUAUUUCUGGCAAACACAACGAGCUAGUUUCAUAUGCAGCGUUCAGUUGAUGGCUGCUCAUCCUGUUGAAUCAGAAGCAAGCAGUGAAACAGACAAUCACCCUUUACUGAUAGACCACAUGGAAAAUACUGCUCAUCUCGAGAUUGCAAUUGAGAGCCCAAGGGAUGAUGUUGCUUCAUCGUCAACCGCUCGUCGGGAGGAUAAUGAUGGCUUGGAUCGAUUGCCUCACAUCUCAGAAAGUUCUUCGGAGACAACUACUGCAUCUAACUCUCAAAGUGCUCCUCUAGCAAGAAGAGAUGCUAAUCGUGCUCGUCGUCGGCAAAGUCCGUUGAAUUCUAGUUGCUGGAUCUCCAUUGAGCUUGUUGUAACAGUUAGCCAGAUUAUAGCGGCCAUUUGUGUUCUGUCAUUGUCAAGGAAGGAACGUCCGCAUUCUCCAUUAUUUGAGUGGGUCAUUGGUUAUACGGUAGGUUGUGUUGCUACUCUUCCUCUUCUCUACUGGCGCUAUCUCCAUCGCAACCGCCCAACAACUGGGCAAGAACCAGCAAGUCAGAACUUCCCUCCGAACAGCAUACCUGAGUCCAAUUCUCACACAACAAAUUCGGCCCCUGGCAUGUCUGAAGCUGGUUUUGUAACUGACACAAAUGGAGUCUCGCAAAACAACGUGCUUACCAGAAAUCUCAGGGCCCAAGCUUAUGCCGAUCACUUCAGGAUGGCCCUUGACUGUUUCUUCGCCGUGUGGUUUGUUGUGGGGAAUGUGUGGGUAUUUGGUGGACAUUCCUCUGCCCAUGACGCUCCCAACUUAUACAGGUUGUGUAUAGCCUUCCUCACAUUUAGCUGCAUCGGCUAUGCUAUGCCUUUCAUUCUGUGCGCAUUGAUAUGUUGCUGCCUGCCCUGCAUAAUCUCCCUAAUGAGCUUUCGUGAAGAUCUAAACCAAAACAAAGGUGCUACUGCAGAAGCAAUCAAUGCCUUGAGAACAUACAAGUUCAAAACGAAGAAGUCCCGUAACGGCGAGGGGAUUGAAGUCGGCGGCGGAGUUGUUGCUGCUGGAACAGACAAGGAGCGGAUUGUUUCUGCUGAAGAUGCUAUUUGCUGUAUCUGCCUAGCAAGAUACUCGAACAAUGAUGAUCUCCGAGAGCUUCCUUGCACCCACUUCUUCCACAAAGAAUGCGUAGACAAAUGGCUCAAGAUAAACGCACUAUGCCCCCUCUGCAAAGCUGAGAUAGACAGUGGCCCGACAACUGCUCCUGCCAUUGGCUUUGGGCGUCGCCACAGUGACAACAGGGUAGGAAAUGACAUCGAAUCACAGCUGUAACUCUGCAUUAUCCAUCGAGGGUGCAACAUGUCCCUGAUGUGGCUUCGACAGAGCAAUUUGUAAAUUAUAAAAUGAAAUAGUUGACACAAUGAACGGGCCCCUUAUAUUAUCGAACCGGUUCUUCGCUGUCUGAUUACUGUCUCAUUGUCAAAAUAUGUUCCGAAGAUGG
rnacentral:rRNA from 1 species